UCGGAUCAAUGUUUCCUAUUCAAAAGCAUCUUUUGACUUGCGAAACUUUUGCAGAAAUCUAGACGUAACGUUUUCAGCUGACAGAGACGCCAUAGCCGUAUAAUACUUUGGGUUCUUGCUACAAUCGCACUACUACCGGCAACCAUUUUUAGUGACAGCAUUCGUUAAUGGGUCAACUGAACCUUCGCUUAAGUAAAGGCCAUGCUCGGUCUUCCUUAAGAAAUUUCAGUGACGGACUCGAUGUUGCUCUGCUCACGUUUUUUUUUCCGUCUAUUCGUAGAGGAGGUUUACAGUGUAGCAUGUCAUAAAAGAGACAAAAGUGUCUAACAAGACACGUUAUUGUUUGUGGUAUAUCAUAUCACCGAACACCUUUAAAGCGAUGCCUAUAAAGCUUCCAGCAAGUCUACGAUGAAGUGCUGUAAUGAAUAGUAACAUUAACUUAAAGGAAAAAAAAUUUUUUUUUUAAAUAUCGAUCUUAGGCUGAAAAAAACUUAAUAAAAGAGAACAAAAUUAGCUUAAAUUGUUCUAUUGGAUCAUCCGAGUUUUGAUUAGAAGAGUUGUCUGCUCUAUUAUUUAUUCUUCGUAUAAUGCUGUCAAUUUAUUACCAAUUCUUUUGUUAUUCUUAACAGAGACUUUUUCUUUGUGCAUCAAAUGUCGUGCAUACUUAUGGCCGAUUUGAUGAAUUUAGCAUCAUCAUCUAAUAUCACUCAUCGAGUUCUACAAAUUUACUGCAUAGAAUAAUAUAAUGCCUCAAACAUAAAUGAUACUUCUCAUAACAUUAGAAAACAUGAAAAUCCAUGAAGCAACUCUUUUUAACGUUUCAAAAUAAAGGGCACUGCAUUUCCUACAUGACCAAUGUGUGGUACCCUUAUAUAGUAGAACUUUACAUCUCAAUUUGUUCUAAAAUAUAGGCCAUUGUCCAACGCAAUGUUUUCGUGCGUCCGUAGACGGCAAUGACUGAGCAGAACUUCUAUUACUAGGGCGACCUCUUUUGUUGCCAUUGAUAUGAGAUCCCACAUUGCAAAGCCAAAUCAUUGCGCAACCGAUAUUUGGUAGCUGUUUACUUGGAAUUGCCUUUGCAAUGAAGUUUUUUCAUAAGUACCUACGAAUAUAUUUCGGCUAGGUUCAAUAGAAGAUCCAAUACGCGGAGGUACCAUUUGCGGCUUUUUCUCUUAUUUAUUGUGUGUAUUUCUCUUUUUAUUGUAUUCUAAUUUUAAAACAAUUAGAAUAAGAUUUUGUAUUAAGAUGUACUAAAUCCGACUGUAAUUUUUUUUAGUUGGAUUUCAUGUAUAAACAAAUAAAUAAAUAAAUAAAUAAAUAAACUAGACUAAAUAAUCUAAUUUCUAUUUGCAAAAGUCUUUGCAAAGAUAUAGCGUUAAUUAUUUACCUAACUUUCCUUAGUUAGCGCUAAGGCCGUUGGUAAAUCAGACGGAGGAAAUAGAAAAAGAAUGUGAUACAGUGGUUUUCUUAAACCAGUAAUGAAAGCCCGAAGUGCGUUUUAUAUUUUCCAAUUUACGGUGCUAAAACUCUACCAUAUGUCAGUAUCGCUUUGCUUCUUAGUAAUUAAAAGUUUCUUUCAACCUUAUCCUAGAACUGAGAGACUAUUGAAAACUUUGUAUUAACAUGCUGAAAUCGGUCGUUUAUCAACAUAUGUAAAAUGUAACCUAGCUAUUGCCGAAAAAUUGAUCAAUGUACUGAAGCAUGUCAGCACGAAGCCUGACUGAUCCUUAAUUUUAUUUCUAAUUAUUGCCACUGCCUUAUAGAGUUUGCAACUACCGUCGCACUUGUCAAAAAUUUGUUAUGCAUGUAAUUCUCUAACUUCCCGUUAAAACCGUGUAACGAUUUCACAACAUUAAUAGAUUCAUCACAUUUAACUCAGAAUAAUAUCUCUGCCUCUUUGUAUACUUUCACUUCUGUCCCCGUUAUUGAAAGAGAUGUUAGUUUAUUGGACAGUUAAUUUAUGUUCUUAUUAAAGUCAGAAAAAAAUGAAUUGCACUUUUUAAUAGCUGCGAUAUUUGAUGUACAUUUAUUUCGUUCGACGGACGCACGUGCCAUUGCUGAGCUAGCUAGUUUGGGAAAUAAGAGGGGUUUGAAAUUUUUGUCCCACGACACUCCACAGGUUACAACUAAAAGAAAUACACGUGCUUUAACGCAUGCAAGGACGGACGCAACUUACUUACUGGACGGACUGAUUCUACGGCCUGGGCCACUAUUUACCCUGCCCUACCUACCAUUGGAAACCUCGAAGUUGGGUCCGAUAACUUUUAAGCUACUUUACUUUCAACAAAAAUUUAUUCAAUACAAUUUUGAGUUUGUUUUAAUAAAGAAAAUUCGUUAUUAGAAGAGAUUUUAUAUUGAUUGUGAUUGCAUAUAGUUGUUAUACACCCACUUUGAAGUGUGAGAGAAUUAUGAAAAUUCAGCAUAAUUCUUUUGCAAAAAGAAAAACGAGAAUUAUGUCAGACUUCAACUGGCUGAUAAUUGCAUUUCGUGAUGCAAUACGACGGUAGGCGCCCUAAUGAAAAAAACCGUAAGAAUUAUUAUUUGCUUACGCUAGCAUUAAGAUACCUGUAAAAUUUAUUAUAAAUGGCUAUAUCAAAGCUUAAUAAGCACUUCACAUAGCCUUUCAUUCGCUAAAACUUAAAAAGACUUUCCAUCGGCCUAAUAUUAUAGAUAGGAACUGCUUCUAGCCGAUCUUAGUAUUGGCACUAAAAGAAGCAGAUUGACUUGGCGGACUGAAGCCGAGCAGCAUGGGAAAGUAUUCCACGACAGCACUCUGGUCACAUAUGUAGAAAGAUUCAUAGGGAAUCUUUCUAACACUGUAUAGGAAUAAACGUUAUAACGUUCACUACCUAAAGUAUUGAGCUAUUUUUUUUUUUUUUUUUUUUUUGGUAUGUUGAACAGAGAUGGACUAAGCCAAUAGAUUUUUGGUAUGUUGAACAGAGAUGGACUAAGCCAAUAGAUUUUUGGCUUAGUCCAAAGUAUUGAGCUAUAGCCUAUAACAUUAUGUUCUCCAACAACAAAGCUAAAUUCGUUACAAUAUUAAUAAAAUUGUUUUUACAUUUGCUUUAUAUUUUUUUGUAAAAAAAAUAUUUGAUAUAUAUAUGUACAUAAAUUUCUUUUAUUUUCCUCAUUUAGAAGAAUAAUCAAGUGAAAGUUCAAUUUACAUUUAUUUUUUUUAUUAUCAUUUAUUACACUUUUAUACACUUUUACUUUUCAGAUUAUAACACCCACAUUUUUGUACCAAACUUACAUAGUAAGUUAAACAAAAUUUCACAUAUCAAUUUCUUUUUUACAUAUCUAUAAACGUUUAAAAUCUCUUCGAAUUUUAAAUAUUAAUAUUAAAUUCAGUAUAUUAAUUCAGUGUUCAAAACGAACAACCUUUAGUUGUUAAUUUAUAAAUGAAUUGAAAACUUUUUAUGUGCAACACAAGCACAUCAACAUUUAGUUAUUUUUAUAAGGACGUUAUCGGUAACACAAUCGCUUUCAGAUAAAAAAAUUGCUUUCACAUUCGUUACUAUCUUCCCUCAAUUACAAAGUACAUCAUUUUUCUUCCGAUAUGGCAUUGUCAACUUUUCAUUCACAAUGUUUGCCGUUUUCAUUUUAGUAUAUUGUAAUCGAUAAUUUAACAUAAGGCAUAUAAUGGCCUACGAUAAUAAUUGAGUCGAUAUUUCAGACAUUUUGCAAACACGCUUAAAUCACAAAAGUUCGUUUAAAGUGUUUAUGCUGAUUAUUCCAAAGACAUAUUUUUAAAAAAAAA